rnacentral:rRNA from 1 species
UGUAGCGGUGAAAUGAGUAGAGAUCUGGAGGAAUACCGGUGGCGAAGGCGGCCCCCUGGACAAAGACUGACGCUCAGGUGCGAAAGCGUGGGGAGCAAACAGGAUUAGAUACCCUGGUAGUCCACGCCGUAAACGAUGUCGAUUUUGAGGUUGUGCCCUUGAGGCGUGGCUUCCGGAGCUAACGCGUUAAAUCGACCGCCUGGGGAGUACGGCCGCAAGGUUAAAACUCAAAUGAAUUGACGGGGGCCCGCACAAGCGGUGGAGCAUGUGGUUUAAUUCGAUGCUACGCGAAGAACCUUACCUGCUCUUGACAUCCACAGAACUUUCCAGAGAUGGUUUGGUGCCUUCGGGAACUGUGAGACAGGAGUUGCAUGGGUGUCGUCAGCUCGUGUUGUGAAAUGUUGGGUUAAGUCCCGCAACGAGCGCAACCCUUAUCCUUUGUUGCCAGCGGUCCGGCCGGGAACUCAAAAGAGACUGCCAGUGAUAAACUGGAGGAAGGUGGGGAUGACGUCAAGUCAUCAUGGCCCUUACGAGCAGGGAUACACACGUGCUACAAUGGCGCAUACAAAGAGAAGCGACCUCGCGAGAGCAAGCGGACCUCAUAAAGUGUGUCGUAGUCCGGAUUGGAGUCUGCAACUCGACUCCAUGAAGUCGGAAUCGCUAGUAAUCGUCGAUCAGAAUGCCACGGUGAAUACGUUCCCGGGCCUUGUACACACCGCCCGUCACACCAUGGGAGUGGGUUGCAAAAGAAGUAGGUAGCUUAACCUUCGGGAGGGUGAUUCAUGACUGGGGUGAAGUCGUAAC